ACCUGGGUAGCUCAGUCGGUUAAGCAUCUGACUUCAGCUCAGGUCAUGAUCUCACAGUUUGUGGGUUCAAGCCCCACAUUGGGAA
rnacentral:tRNA from 1 species